AGCGUAAUAGCUCACUGGUCGAGUCGGCCUGCGCGGAAGAUUUAACGGGGCUAAGCUAUACACCGAAGCUGCGGCAAUGUGCUACGCACAUUGGGUAGGGGAGCGUUCUGUAAGCCGUUGAAGGUGUGUUGUAAAGCAUGCUGGAGGUAUCAGAAGUGCGAAUGCUGACAUGAGUAACGACAAAGGGAGUGAAAAACUCCCUCGCCGGAAGACCAAGGGUUCCUGUCCAACGUUAAUCGGGGCAGGGUGAGUCGACCCCUAAGGCGAGGCCGAAAGGCGUAGUCGAUGGGAAACGGGUUAAUAUUCCCGUACUUCUUACUAUUGCGAUGGGGGGACGGAGAAGGCUAGGUGAGCCUGGCGACGGUUGUCCAGGUCCAAGUACGUAGGUGGAUGAAUUAGGCAAAUCCGGUUCAUCAUUAACACUGAGAUACGAUGUCGAGCUACUACGGUAGCGAAGUCAUUGAUGCCAUGCUUCCGGGAAAAGCCUCUAAGCUUCAGAUAGUAAGAAAUCGUACCCCAAACCGACACAGGUGGUCGGGUAGAGAAUACCAAGGCGCUUGAGAGAACUCGGGUGAAGGAACUAGGCAAAAUGGUACCGUAACUUCGGGAGAAGGUACGCUCUUAACGGUGAAGUCCCUCGCGGAUGGAGCUGUCGAGAGUCGCAGAUACCAGGUGGCUGCAACUGUUUAUUAAAAACACAGCACUGUGCAAAAUCGAAAGAUGACGUAUACGGUGUGACGCCUGCCCGGUGCCGGAAGGUUAAUUGAUGGGGUUAGACG
rnacentral:rRNA from 1 species